UUUUCUUGUCUUUGAGAUUCUUGUGUGUUUAUCCCU
rnacentral:sRNA from 1 species